AUGAGAGGGGGAGGAGUGUCCCUUGGGCCUGGGGAAACUGUCAGGGACAGUGACAUCACAGGCAGAGCCGCCAACCAAGGCCAAGGAGACCAGAGCCCACCCCCCACCCCCAUGGCAUCCCAGUUAGAAGAGGCCAUUGGGCCUGACUCCACCAUGGGCUGCUGGCUGCUGGGCUGUGUGGCCCUCUGUCUCCUGGGAGCAGUCUGCCCAGACACUGGAAUUACUCAGGUACCAAAGUUCCUGGUGAUGGGAAUGAGAGAUAAGAAGUCUUUGAAGUGCGAACAACAGCUGGGACAUAACGCUAUGUACUGGUACAAACAGAGCCCUCACAAGCCGCUGCAGCUCCUGUUUGUCUGUAGCUACAAGGAACUCACUGAAAACAAUACUGUCCCAGAACGCUUCACGCCCAAACGCCCAGACACCGCUCAGUUACACCUGCUCGUGGAUGCCCUGGAGCCAGAAGACUCGGCCCUGUACCUCUGUGCCAGCAGCAAAGACACAGCCCUGCAGGGCCACCGCCUCCCUGUGCAGAAACCUCCCGAUCUCUAG